rnacentral:rRNA from 1 species
GAGCGGAUGACGGGAGCUUGCUCCUUGAUUCAGCGGCGGACGGGUGAGUAAUGCCUAGGAAUCUGCCUGGUAGUGGGGGACAACGUUUCGAAAGGAACGCUAAUACCGCAUACGUCCUACGGGAGAAAGCAGGGGACCUUUGGGCCUUGCGCUAUCAGAUGAGCCUAGGUCGGAUUAGCUACUUGGUGGGGUAAUGGCUCACCAAGGCGACGAUCCGUAACUGGUCUGAGAGGAUGAUCAGUCACACUGGAACUGAGACACGGUCCAUACUCCUACGGGAGGCAGCAGUGGGGAAUAUUGGACAAUGGGCGAAAGCCUGAUCCACCCAUGCCGCGUGUGUGAAGAAGGUCUUCGGAUUGUACAGCACUUUAACUUGGGAGGAAGGGCAGUCACUUAAUACCUUUCCUGUUUGACGUUACCGACAGAAUAAGCACGGGCUAACUCUGUG